AGGUCAACCCUUUUUUCCUUCUACUCUUGGCUGACAUAUUUUGAAUUUUUUUCCAACAAAUAGGUAUAAAUGUUCUCUUUUGUUGGCUAGGUGAAAAUACAUGGAAAGAUUGAUUGAGAAAUUGGGUGUGUACUUGAUUGGGAGACAGACGAAACCCCCAGCUUCUCUUUAAGGUUUGCUGCCAUAUCUUGCGUCUGCAACGAGCCAUACCAGGCUAGUGAUUCAUCUAGUCCCGCCUCCUGAGUGCCUCCAGUUGUUGGGCAAGCUUCCAAUUGGUUGGACCAGCUUUAGAGUGAAGCCCCAGUUGUCUGCAAUUGAUCAUCACAAGGGCGAUUCUUAGCCCAGAUUUGCCAAGAGAGUCGCAGCUGAAUCCAAUACAGGAAGGUGUGAAUAUGUCAGGCCUAAGUUUGUUUUUGAGCGAUCUCAGAAAUGCUGGCAUAUCUUCAUGGGAUUUUUAAUCCACAUGCAGGCCAAUGGGUUUAUAGGUGCGUGGGUUAGUAUUCUAUAGGAGCUGAGCGAUAUCAUUGAGAUGUACAGAGGGCUUAAUGCCUCAGUAUCAUCUAGACGGUUGAUAGAAGAUUCCAGCUUUGUGUGAUCGAUCCAUCAUUGAAUUUGUAGGCUUGAACAGAUCUAAAUUAUCAUAGUUGUUCCCUCAUUGAUUGUGUGGUCCAGUACUCUAAGCUAAUUUGAAUUUUGAACCAUUCUAGAAGAUUUUGAGUA